rnacentral:rRNA from 1 species
CGGUAAUACAGAGGGUGCAAGCGUUAAUCGGAAUUACUGGGCGUAAAGCGCGCGUAGGUGGUUCGUUAAGUUGGAUGUGAAAUCCCCGGGCUCAACCUGGGAACUGCAUUCAAAACUGUCGAGCUAGAGUAUGGUAGAGGGUGGUGGAAUUUCCUGUGUAGCGGUGAAAUGCGUAGAUAUAGGAAGGAACACCAGUGGCGAAGGCGACCCACCUGGACUGAUACUGACACUGAGGUGCGAAAGCGUGGGGAGCAAACAGGAUUA